rnacentral:rRNA from 1 species
GACGAACGCUGGCGGCGUGCUUAACACAUGCAAGUCGAACGGAAAGGCCCUGCUUUUGUGGGGUGCUCGAGUGGCGAACGGGUGAGUAACACGUGAGUAACCUGCCCUUGACUUUGGGAUAACUUCAGGAAACUGGGGCUAAUACCGGAUAGGAGCUCCUGCUGCAUGGUGGGGGUUGGAAAGUUUCGGCGGUUGGGGAUGGACUCGCGGCUUAUCAGCUUGUUGGUGGGGUAGUGGCUUACCAAGGCUUUGACGGGUAGCCGGCCUGGGAGGGUGACCGGACACAUUGGGACUGAGAUACGGCCCAGACUCCUACGGGAGGCAGCAGUGGGGAAGAGUGCACAAUGGGCGGAAGCCUGAUGCAGCAACGCCGCGUGCGGGAUGACGGCCUUCGGGUUGUAAACCGCUUUCGCCUGUGACGAAGCGUGAGUGACGGUAAUGGGUAAAGAAGCACCGGCUAACUACGUG